CCUACGGGCGGCUGCAGUGGGGAAUAUUGGACAAUGGGCGAAAGCCUGAUCCAGCCAUGCCGCGUGUGUGAAGAAGGCCUUCGGGUUGUAAAGCACUUUCAGUGGGGAAGAAAGCCUUGGGGCUAAUACCCUCGAGGAAGGACAUCACCCACAGAAGAAGCACCGGCUAACUCCGUGCCAGCAGCCGCGGUAAUACGGAGGGUGCGAGCGUUAAUCGGAAUUACUGGGCGUAAAGCGCGCGUAGGCGGUCUGAUAAGCCGGUUGUGAAAGCCCCGGGCUCAACCUGGGAACGGCAUCCGGAACUGUCAGGCUAGAGUGCAGGAGAGGAAGGUAGAAUUCCCGGUGUAGCGGUGAAAUGCGUAGAGAUCGGGAGGAAUACCAGUGGCGAAGGCGGUCUUCUGGACUGACACUGACGCUGAGGUGCGAAAGCGUGGGUAGCAAACAGGAUUAGAUACCCCUGUAGUC
rnacentral:rRNA from 1 species